UCGGGAAUUUUGGGCAAUGGGCGCAAGCCUGAUCCAGCCAUGCCGCGUGCGGGAAGAAGGCCUUCGGGUUGUAAACCGCUUUUGUCAGGGAAGAAACGCUCUGGGCUAAUACCCUGGGGUAAUGACGGUACCUGAAGAAUAAGCACCGGCUAACUACGUGCCAGCAGCCGCGGUAAUACGUAGGGUGCAAGCGUUAAUCGGAAUUACUGGGCGUAAAGCGUGCGCAGGCGGUUAUGCAAGACAGAUGUGAAAUCCCCGGGCUCAACCUGGGAACUGCAUUUGUGACUGUAUAGCUAGAGUACGGUAGAGGGGGAUGGAAUUCCGCGUGUAGCAGUGAAAUGCGUAGAUAUGCGGAGGAACACCGAUGGCGAAGGCAAUCCCCUGGACCUGUACUGACGCUCAUGCACGAAAGCGUGGGGAACAAACAGGAUUAGAUACCCUGGUAGUCCUGAGCGGGCUGGCAAGGCGCAU
rnacentral:rRNA from 1 species